UUGUACAUUUUUAAGAAUUGAAAACCUUUUAACAAACUGUUUUAACUUGCAGAGUUAUUUGUUUUAACCCGAUUUUCAAUUCUUAUUAUACAUUGAUGUAUUGUAUACUUUAUAUUUGAUUGUUCACAUUUAAACUGAUAGAACACAUAAACCAUUGUAAUGUCUAUAACAAAACACUAUGGUUCGAGUGUAAAAGAAAGACACCAUCAGAAAACAUAAAACAUCUGUAUGUCCUUAACAAUACACCUAGGCUCGAGUGUGAUAGAUAAAUACCAUCAUAAUACACAAAUCAAUUGUAAUGUACUUAAUAAUACACCUAGGAUCGAGUGUAAAGGACAAUCACCAUAAUAUAACACAUAUAUCAUUUGUAACGUCCUUAAUAAUACACCUAGGAUCGAGUGUAAAGGACACUCAUCAUUAGAUAACACCUAGGCUCGAGUGUAAUGUCCUUAGUAAAACACCUAGACUCGAGUGUAAAGGACAGGUACGUUAGAACUUAGUUAGUCGUAGAUACUACUUUCCUAGUCGAAAAGUAAUGAGUAAUCUUAAAGAUUGGAGACACGUCCUUGUAACACUUCCUUGGCAUGAGAUAGUGGAGGACUAACCUUGUAACCAGAAUCUCCGAACGUAGGAGAGCGUGGCUUGAGUGUAUAGAUCUAUACGGGACUGACAAUCCCACACCUGGCUGCUAGCUACAGCCGAACCGAAAGGUUCAAGGGUGACGAAAGCCAUAAAAAGGAUACUGGCCCUGGUCCGAGUCAUAUCUAGUCUGAGUAUGGUUAAGGACUCGCAAUCAGGAUUAUUAACACUUUACGAGUAUUUAUUAGUUUUAUGUUCGUAAUAAAACUAAUGUACGUUCAAGGAUGACAGGCACAAAUACACUCACACAUUCAGGAAAACAUGGGGUUUUCCUGGGGAGAACACUGAACAUAACCAAAAUCGGUAAAACAUGGGGUUUUCCUGGGGAGAACACUGAACAUAACCAGAAAUCGGUAAAGAUACACUCACAUAGUCAGGAAAACAUGGGGUUUUCCUGGGGAGGACAAUGAACAUAAUCAGAAUUGGUAAUAGUUCACACUCACACAGUCAGGAGAACAUGGGGUUCUUCCUAAGUAACAGUAGUACGUAACUAGAAAAGUAUAACAAGUUAAAUAACUAAAAUACAAUUCAUAAGAACAAUCAUGUUUUCAUUAUACAUUGUUUACUUUACUUUUCGGAUUUGGAAAAUAACUUUACAUAAGAAAAUAUGGGAUUUUCUUGGAUAACCACUUUUUCAGGAAAACCAAAGAAACUCGUACAUUUUCAGAAAACUAACCGCUUAUGAACUCACUAGCUUUAUGCUGAUUUUCAAACCGCUUGUAUUCUCAGGUCCAUGUUAGACAUGUACCCAAAGAUCUUUUUGUUCGAAGAUGGAGUUCUUAGAAGACUCAUUUCGUGUUGUUCAUAUAUACUAUGUAUCACAUGUAUAACUUAUGCUUUUGAAACGAAUGUAAAACUUUCAUAUAUGUAAUGUAAUGGUUGAUUUACUUUACUUAUUAUGUAUAUUGGAUUUGAUACUCAACGUGGAGUCAACCCCGAAAAUGUUUCCGCCUUCGGUUUUCGGGGUGUGAUAGAUUGGUAUCCGAGCCCUUGUUUAUAGUGAAUGAAGUAUACCAAACCUUACAUGGUAUAAAAAUAUACACAUUAAGGGGCCUAAGUGCUCUGAACUAAAAGUAUCCAUCAAAAUAUAAGUAUUUUCAAAAGUAUAUAAGUAUACCAACCCGUCGAGAUCCGUAACUACAAGCAGAACAGAAUAUAAGUAAAUGGGUGUUGUAUGAUAUGGUUAAACCUGGGCAGUUAUGUAGUCGUGUCUAGGAUCAAUAUAGCUUGGCCUACUAUAUUCAUUCGAGACAUGGCCAACAUGUGCUUGGGAGUGAGUGUGGUAUGCGGCAUGCCUAAAACUUAUCCUAAUACCAAAAACAUCGAGCCAGUGUCGUAACGAAUCAUGAAAUACUAUGGGAGUAUUUCUCGAGCCAAUCCUUGGUAGAAAUCCUCGUUCAUACAUUGUUCUUUGAUCAUUCUCUUAGCGAUAAUUUUCUUGCCUUGAUAACUCUUUCCUGCUUUAUCGCUUAUUCAGCAUAUAUCUAUCAUAUCUCUUGAUUCAAUUCAGAAGACUUAUCAUCCUCUAUUCAUUGAUCUUAUUAGAUCAAGAUGCCUCCAAGAAAGAGACCCAACUCCAAGACCAACAACCUUCCGCCACCACCUCCUCCCCAAAUUGAUCCAGUAGUAUUUUAGGCAGCUGUUACAGCCGCGGUAGCAGCUGCCAUGUCUCAACGGAACUCCGACGGUUCCAGUGGUUCGGGAGGUGGUACCCAAACCCAAAACCAAGAAAGCAGUCAGGGACGCCGGAAAGAGGGUUCCUAUAAGGAUUUCAUGAACGCCAAGCCCACAUCCUUUGAUGGCACUGGAGGUGUCAUUUCCCUCACUCGAUGGUUCGAGAAGAUCGAAUCCAUUUUUGAAAUUUGCGCCUGUUCAGAUUCAGACAAGGUGAAGUUUGCCGCUUGCAACUUUAUCUACAAAGCCUUGACUUGGUGGAAUGGCCGAGUCAAAUCCCUAACCUUACCUGUAGCCAACGCCAUGGGUUGGGAAGCCAUGAAGGAACUUCUGCUGGCUAAGUACUGCCAUCGAGGCGAAAUGCAGAAGUUAGAACAUGAACUUUGGAACCUGAAGAUGAAAGGUUCCGACAUCACCACUUACACUUCCAGGUUCGACGACUUGGCACUACUUUGCCCGGGAAUGGUUACCCCGGAGAGUAAGAAGAUAGAAAGAUUCAUCUGGGGGCUGACCCACCCAACCAAAGGAAAUGUCUUAGCCGCGAGGCCGGAUACAUACGACAGCGCCAAACGCUUAGCACAUAUCCUAAUCGAUCAUAGUGAAGACCUUGAGGAGGCAGCUACCACUCCUGAGCCGAUAGUGAGGAGUGGUGAGAAAAGAAAACUGGGGAAGAAAGAGUAAAGUCAGGCAUCGCACGAGUCUUCGAAGAGACAGCAAACGGUGGCAGUUCACGCUGUCACUUCCCCUGCAACUGUUUCUGUUGAUGGAUCCUCAACCCGAAAACUUGCCAAUAGGUAUACUGGAACCCUUCCUAGUUUUGGCAAGUGCAACUAUCAUCGUCUUCCUUCCGGUCCAUGUAUCAAGGUAAUUUGCAACAAAUGUGGCAUAAAGGGUCACAUGGCGAAAAACUGUAAGACACCAACUCAAUCAACGAGUCAAACUUCUGGAGCGGGCAUUGGUCGGGCCUGCUAUGGUUGUGGAGAAGUGGGGCAUCUUAAGCGAAACUGCCCCAAGGCUGUAAGACCUGGCAACACCGGAAGAGUUCUAGCGAUAGGACAAGAGGAGACAGUCACCGAUCCCACCGUUGCCAUAGGUAUAUUUCCCUUUGUUAAAUUUAUAUGCCUGUGAUUCUUUUCGAUUCUAGCACCGAAAGAAAUUCGUUAACCAUCCAUUGGGACAUCUUCUAACCCCAUCCUUUGCGAGUAACCGAAAAUGUAUACCUUCGAGAUGGUUAUCACGUGAGAACGAGAACGCUUUUGUCGUAUCCGUAGAUUGUAUUCUCAAUCCGAGCAAUUAUUCUUUCCAUUCGACCUAUUGGCAAACUUUUUAUGAAAUGCUUUGAUGUCACCUUUAGCAUGUAAUGAUUGAGCCUCAUUCAUGUUGUCUUUUCUAGUUUCGAGAAAGCCAUUUGUUCCAACCUUCCUCCGACUUGACCUUCAUGAUCCUCGUACAUCAAAUCUUAAAAAGUUUUCCCAUGUACCUCUCGUCCGAGUAAUCAUCGAGAAACGAGAAGUCUACGAUUCUUUCCCCGAUACUGUUUCCAAAGAAUUCUUGAUAAUUCUUUCCGAACGUGUAGUCAAGUCUCACAUCGACCUAAUCCCUGAAAUUAUCUCGUAACCAAACUUCAGUAAGCACGAUAUGUGCAAGGCAGCAAUCAGGGCAUGAUGAUCACUACGNCACUACGAGGUAGUAGUGGCGCCCUUCGGUCGAACCAUUUUCUUGGUCAUGUAGAUAAGCAAAGCAGUCAUACUCGUAAACCCUUCCAAAAGCAAAGGCAAUAAAGAAUUAGUCAACACCAGGAACACCCAUGGAAACUUGUCGAUUCUUUGGUUCCGCCGACUAUAAUCGUAGACUCAUGUAGAAGUUUCCCUUAGAACCAUCGGAACCUUAGUUGCUUUGCCAUGUGAAAAUGUACCCACUUGUUGGAGGUUUUACCCUGGAAAGACAUAGUACGCCUUUGGAAGUGUGGAAAACUUAACUUGUGGAACCUUAGACUCUUCGAGAUCCUUGUUAGGAAUCGAUUCCAUAGCCCUCUUCGAGCUAUCUUUAGGAACUCCGCAGCGAGCAUCCGGUAUUCCACAUCGUUGUUUGUGAGAAGUGCUAACCUGACAAAAACCUUAGUCACCCUUUGAUGAGGUCAAAACCAAUGAAAAUCUGAACCAUCGUGUAUGAAUCAAUUGAGAUCGUGGAUUGAGAGGUUAACCAUGCGUAACAAAGCCACAUCCUGACAGUGAGGGUUCGCUGGAAUGUCAAGCGAAGACCCGAUUCCACUUAGGAGCUUGAAGACCCGAAACAGUAGAUUCAUCCUCAUAUCUCUUUUCACUUCGUGAUCUGUAUUCGAAUUUUUGAAUUUCGGGACGAAAAUCCCUCUAAUGGGGGGAUAAUGUAACAACCCGAAAUUCAUAUCCCUAAAUGUAAUCGUUCUCGCGACUUGUUCUGAUCAUCCAAUCGCGGUUUCCGAUUUCAUUUCCGAUUCCAACAUUUUAUUAAGUCAUUAAUGUGGAUUUUAUUUUAUGAAUUAAUGAGUGUCUUAAAACCCUUAGAACUCAUUCUAACGCCUCAUAUUAAUGAUCAGAACAUUUCUAGAAUCAACCAUAUCGGGUUACGGCAAAUUGGCCGGGUGCGACCAAAAGCCCCGUCUAACGUUGGUAUCGGGUAAAAUUUUACCGUGUCCCGAACUUGGACACUAUUUAAAGUGAUCCAAGUCUUCAUUUUGAAGAUUUUGCUUCAUUCUACAACUAUCACUCCAACCUCUCUCCUCAAACUAGAUUUAAAGGUCCAAAUCUCAAGUUUAAGGCUUCAAAUCUUCAAGGUACCUUCCUAUACUCAUUGUGUAUCAUAUUGGACCUUCAAAUUCGAGAUUUAUUCAUGAUUUAGAGCCUUGUAUAUGAGUUUAUGUCCCAGGAAGGUCCUUAGGCCGUAAACCCAUAUUUAAAGGGUUUUUAAGCCCUUAAACCCUUCCAUGACUCAAACUAGACCUAGAUAUGACUUUUAGAAAUUUGGUAAUGGAGUUCGAACACUUCAAACAUGGAUUUUGAGGGAUUUGUAUGAGUUUACGGCCAAGGCAUGUGUUUGGGCCGUAAACUCCUCAAACAUGGGUGUAAACUCAUUUCCAAUGUGUUAGAAAGCCAUCCAACACCAACAAAAGCCUUGGAAUAAAUCAUAGAACCAACCAAAAAUAGUUUAGGGACCUUAAACAUAACAAAACCUCACAUAUGAGAGUUUACGGCCAUAGAACAUGCUCCAGGGCCGUAAACUCCUAAUUAUAUGUUGUUUGAUGCCCUAAAUUCACCCCAAGCCUUGGAAAAUUAACUAGAAUCACAUGUGAUUGUCCUAAGCAUCACAAAUUAAAUAUGGUUUGAGCAUGGGAGAGUUUACGGCCGUAAACUCAAAGUUUACAUCCGUGAACUCUCAAAUGUUAUGUAUAUGUUGAUUCAACUAAACCAUGGCAUUAGAAAAAUCCAUUCCAACAUUCCCUUGUUCAUUUAAGCCAUUUUAGCACUCAAAACAACCCAAACAUGAGUUCACGGCCGUGAACUCAUGUAUAUAGGGGUAUAUGGCUGUAAGAUUCAUUAGGAAGUUUACUCUUGGGGAGUAAACUCAACUCCCAAGUCCCUCGCUUCAAUUCUCGUCCGUAGAUGUCACCCGGGUCACUCCAAACACCCGUUUUGAGGUGUUUUCGUUCGUUGGAGUGUGACUUCAUAUCUAAUUAGAGUUUAUGAAUCUAAUUAGAAAUAUUUUUAUGCCAUUUCAUGUUACAUAGGAACCUCAUGUGUUAUCAGGCCUCGAUUCGACGGUUAGCAUCCGAAAUCGACACAUUUUCGCGUCCGGUGAGUUCAUACCCCUACCCUUUUUCAAUGGUUUUUCAAUGUUUUCAGAGGGGAAUACAAGCAAAAGUACAAGAAUAUCUUGUACUUAAACACAUGAUUUCGGUUAAAUGGUUUCAUAAUUGUACAUUUUUAAGAAUUGAAAACCUUUUAACAAACUGUUUUAAUUUGCAGAGUUAUUUGUUUUACCCCGAUUUUCAAUUCUUAUUAUACAUUGAUGUAUUGUAUACUUUAUAUUUGAUUGUUCACAUUUAAACUGAUAGAACACAUAAACCAUUGUAAUGUAUGUAACAAAACACUAAGGUUCGAGUGUAAAAGAAAGACACCAUCAGAAAACAUAAAACAUCUGUAUGUCCUUAACAAUACACCUAGGCUCGAGUGUAAUGUCCUUAACAAAACACCAAGACUCGAGUGUAAAGGACAAUCACCAUAAGAUAACACAUAUAUCAUUCGUAACGUCUUUGAUAAUACACCUAGGAUCGAGUGUAAAGGACAAUCACCAUAAGAUAACACAUAUAUCAUUCGUAACGUCUUUGAUAAUACACCUAGGAUCGAGUGUAAAGGACAGUCAUCAUUAGAUAACACCUAGGCUCGAGUGUAAUGUCCUUAACAAAACACCAAGACUCGAGUGUAAAGGACAAGUACGUUAGAACUUAGUUAGUCGUAGAUACUACUUUCCUAGACGAAAAGUAAAGAGUAAUCUUAAAGAUUGGAGACACGUCCUUGUAACACUUCCUGGGCACGAGAUAGUGGAGGACUAACCCUGUAACUAGAAUCUCCGAGCGUAGGAGAGCGUGGCUUGAGUGUAUAGAUCUAUACGGGAUGACAAUCCCACACCUGGCUACUAGCUACAGCCGAACCGAAAGGUUCAAGGGUGACGAAAUUCAUAAAAAGGUUACUGGCCUUGGUCCGAGUCAU
rnacentral:lncRNA from 1 species